AAGACUGAUUUCUCAUGGAAAUAACUCUUGAAGAACUUUUCAGACAACAUGAUUAAGCAAAAAGAACUGAAAUGUUAUCCAAAAAAUGGUUGAUCAUGGCGAUGUUGUGCAAAGUAGUGUUCAAUUGACUGGUGAUAUGGUUGAUGCUGUAGAUAAGUCAUGUCUCAGUAGGGAUGGCGGAGUUUCUCGUUCUCCAAAGAGAAGUAUUACUGGAGUUGAAGAACAUGCAGAUUUUGAGCCACAUGAUGGGAUAGAAUUUGAGUCCCAUGAGGCUGCGUAUGCAUUUUACCAAGAGUAUGCCAAGUCCAUGGGAUUCACAACCUCAAUUAAGAACAGCCGUCGCUCCAAGAAAUCAAAAGAAUUUAUCGAUGCUAAAUUUGCAUGUUCUAGAUAUGGCACUACUCCAGAAUCAGAUACUGGCAGUAGUAGGCGUCCUAGUGUCAAAAAGACUGAUUGCAAAGCAAGCAUGCACGUUAAGA
rnacentral:misc_RNA from 1 species